GUUCGGAUUGUAGGCUGCAACUCGCCUACAUGAAGUCGGAAUUGCUAGUAAUCGCGGAUCAGCAUGCCGCGGUGAAUACGUUCCCGGGCCUUGUACACACCGCCCGUCACACCAUGGGAGUCGGUAACACCGAAGCCUGUAGUCUAACCGCAAGGAGGACGCAGUCGAAGGUGGGAUUGAUGACUGGGGUGAAGUCGUAACAAGGUACC
rnacentral:rRNA from 1 species